rnacentral:rRNA from 1 species
CCUACGGGGGACUGCAGUGAGGAAUAUUGGUCAAUGGCCGGAAGGCUGAACCAGCCAAGCCGCGUGAGGGAGGAAGGCGCAGAGCGUCGCAGACCUCUUUUGCCGGGGGACAAAAGGCCGGACUCGUCCGGUCCUGAGGGUACCCGGAGAAAAAGCAUCGGCUAACUCCGUGCCAGCAGCCGCGGUAAUACGGAGGAUGCGAGCGUUAUCCGGAUUUAUUGGGUUUAAAGGGUGCGCAGGGGGGCCUUUAAGCCGGGGGUGAAUCGCGGGGGUCAACCCCGCCGAGCAGUCGGAACUGGGGGCCUUGAGUACAGUGGAGGCAUGCGGAAUGCGCGGUGUAGCGGUGAAAUGCAUAGAUAUCGCGCAGAACCCCGAUUGCGAAGGCAGCGUGCCAAGCCGCCACUGACACUGAGGCACGAAAGCGCGGGGAUCGAACAGGAUUAGAUACCCUUGUAGUC